rnacentral:rRNA from 1 species
UGGGGAAUCUUGCACAAUGGGCGAAAGCCUGAUGCAGCAACGCCGCGUGCGGGAAGAAGGCCCUCGGGUUGUAAACCGCUUUCAGAAGGAACGAAAUCGCCACCGUUAAUAGCGGUGGUGGAUGACGGUACCGGAAGAAGAAGCACCGGCUAACUACGUGCCAGCAGCCGCGGUAAUACGUAGGGUGCGAGCGUUAAUCGGAAUUACUGGGCGUAAAGCGUGCGCAGGCGGCGUCGCAAGUCAGGCGUGAAAGCCCCGGGCUUAACCUGGGAAUGGCGCUUGAAACUACGAUGCUGGAGUAUGGCAGAGGGAGGUGGAAUUCCACGUGUAGCGGUGAAAUGCGUAGAUAUGUGGAGGAACACCGAUGGCGAAGGCAGCCUCCUGGGCCAAUACUGACGCUCAUGCACGAAAGCGUGGGGAGCAAACAGGAUUAGAUACCCAAGUAGUCCCUGAGCGGGCUGGCAAGGCGCAU